rnacentral:misc_RNA from 1 species
GGCUUCAUUUUCAAAACUGAAGAUCUUCUUCCGACUAAUAUAGAAGAUAGCAAGUCAUCAUCAUCAGGAAUAGAAUUUACAGUUCUCUUUGAUUUGGUCAUGCCAAGUGAUUCAACAGAAUUUAUACUUUGCACAGUUAAAGAACUUUCAUUAAAACUCCGCUUUUUCCCAGAAAUUUUUGUCCCUGCGCCACUUUCAUCACCCUCUUGGACUUGUUUAUCAGGUGUCUCAACUAGUAAAUCAGGCUGCCUAUCCAGAAGCCNNNNNNNNNNAAAGCAACUUCUCAGGUGCUGGCAAGUCAGAAAUCAUGGAACUAUUCAAAUCUUCACACUGGUUAUCAUUAGAGAUUGCUUUGUCCAGUUGAUCCUCUCGUUUUCCUCCAUCUUCCUGAAUUUCUCCACUUAAAGCAGGUUCAGAUGUCCGAUUUUCCUCUGAUUGUACAACACCAGUCAUGUGGCACUCUUGACCUUGCACCUUAGUGGAAUUUCCAGAAGCAUGGAAUCCUUCCUUCCUUUGAAGUGACUCUGAUGACAAUGGUACAAUAUCUGCUGAUUGCAAGUCAGAUGCAACCAACCACAGAAUUACCAACAUCAUGAUAUGAACUAUCAGGCUUGCUUAAAUGGGAAUUGCAUGUCCGGAGCACACUUGUGCAAGCAGUUGCCAUCUGUUCAUUAUUAACAUUGUCAUUCAAUACUUCAGGAUCCUCCAGUCCCUGACAACCCUGACCUUCGACAUUAACAGAUUUCUGAGCACUAGGCAAUUCCAGUGAGUGGAUAGCAUUUGACACAACAUGUUUGCCAUUUGAGUGUGAUUCUUGCAUGUUUUUUAUGAUUUCAACAUCAUCAGUUUCUUGCAACCUAACUCCUAAGGAUUCGUCAUACUCUCCAUUAAUUUGAUCUAUAGAGGGGACAUACUCUUCAUUAUUGCAAGAAACAACUUUAUUUGCAUCUUUUACCUUGUCCAAACG